CCACCCUAAUGAUGGUGGCAUAUUUUAUUAGACGUUAGACUUGUGAAGCCCAAAGGAAGAGAAACGUAUAGUAUCUGAGU
rnacentral:snRNA from 2 species